rnacentral:misc_RNA from 1 species
CAUGUCAAGGCAAAUCAUGAAUAUGAGGUGCCAGAAGUAAUCUUAGCAUUCCUUACCUAGAAUGGCUGAAGAACAACAAAAGGGAUUGACUUCUCAGGUUUGCUCCUAAAAUUCGCGAAGUCUUGCACCUAAUGAACUGGUGAGCAUCACGUGUUGGGGUUGUAUAUACAAAUGGUCUCUCUAGCCCCUUGCUUUGCUUGUAUAUUAUCCGUGGCAUUUGGUUUUCUGAUAACUUGGUAC